AUCACAGUGUGUCUUCACACACUUAAAACUUCACACAAACAACCCUCACUACCCACCUCCCUCUCGAUUAUUUUUCAGUAAACAUAAAGAACUCAUGACACACACACACACAUAAAAUACCUCCCUCUCUCUCACUAUUACCUAAACAAACACAGGAAUCAACUCCUCACAAAACAAAACCCAACCCAGCCACACCCCUCCCCUCCCUCUCGAUCUUUUCUCGGUGAAGACAAGCACCCGACCGGCGAGACCACCGGCGGAGCUCCGGUUGGUCAGGUGGUGCCGGUGAGGCCCCCAUGACUCCCCCGUCUUCUUUCUUGUCUGACGGAUCGGACCACCGCCACCACCACCGUCUAGUGGUGGUGCGGCGACUAACAAACAGAGAGAGAGAGAGAGAGAGACAGAAGGAAUGGAGAGGAGAGAGAGAUAACCGGUGGGGUGGUGAGCGGUGGUAACUUCUCGGACCGGUGGUCCUCACCUCGAACUAGUGGUCCUUGUCUCGGACCGGUGGUCCUUGACAUUAUCCGUCGCGUUUCGCGAUUUAUUUUUCGUUCGGGUCUCGUAAAGUUUGGUUUCGGUUCAAAGCUCGAUCUCAGUCAGGGACGCCCGUUCGGUUAACUCGGUGGUGGUUCGGUUCAGUCGCGUAUGAGGUUCAACAGAUCUUGGUUCGAGAGUUCAAGUCAGCCGCGGUUCAGGAAGUUCGAGUCACGGUUCGGUUUUUGGGGUUUGGGUGACGUCUCGGCUCGGGUCAACAGUCAAAGUCCGUCAACGGGUCAGCUUGGUUCGGGUCAGAUUAUGAAGCGGUUUGGUCGACUCGGUCAAACCGAGUCAACCCGGUCAAACACGGUCAACCCGAGUCAACUCAGUUGACUCGGUCGACUUGCAGCAAAAGCGGGGCGAAGACUCGGAAUAUUGUAGAAUGCACGCUAGCGAGUCUCGUCUUGGAAACGACAUCACGAAGUCGUAUUUAGCUAGCUUUGCACAGGAAUAUUUAGAGGCAAAUCUUGAAAAGAACAAAUGGAAGAUGAUUCAUUGAGGAUGAGAAGGAUUUGAAAGUGGAAUCAUUGAGGAGGAGCGGAUGCGUAUCUAAGAAGAUAGAAAACACAGACUAAUGAGAUGAAAGGUUUGAUCAUGAUUGGAAGAAAAAAUGAAGAAAUGUAUGUUCAAGAAAUUGAAAUUAAAGACAGAAAUGUAUGUCCAACACUUUAACUUCUAUGUAUUUUUUUACAUCUUAAUCUUACCUCAUAUGCAUUUGAUGUUGCUCCAUUACUCGGUUGCAAUAGUUUAAGAAGCUCACAAAGUAGUAAUAUUUAAUUGUGCUUUAAAUUUAUGUAUUCGGCAUAUAUUCGAUCACAGGUCUUCAUUAUUGCUAUUGACAUUGCUGAGGUUGAACCUAGCAGAAUGGUACAAGGACCUAACUCUUGAAAAUUUUUACUUAUAACCUUUUUUUGUUUGGUUUCACAAUCGCCGAUGAAAGAUAGACACCCUAUCCCAUUUUGAUUGGUGACUAUAUAUUUGCGAUCUAGCGAGUUACAACAUUGCAAAAUAGCCAAAACGUUUGGUUUGGUCCUGGUCUACUUUAUUUUUGGUUUGUUCCAAGGGUUUAAUUUCUUGAUCUGGUUAUGGCUAUUUUUUUAUUGAUUUUAUAAAUUAACUGUUUCAUUUGUUUUAAUUUAGGUUUCCAUGUUUGCAAAUAAAAAAAAUGCAAAAGGUAAGCCUUCAAAGCUCACAUGGACAGCUUUGAAUACAAGUUUGUUGAUUGUUAAUAUAGGUACAUGUUGUCCCGAGCUUAAGGUUAGUUAAUUGCACUUUUCAAUUUUUCUUUUGAUCAGUCAAAUAUCACUAAUGGCAAUGGUUUUAAUGUUAGUGUGCAUCAAUCUAUUGAGGUUUUACAUGCUGGUAUAAAAAAUAAAUUUAAAAGGAAAUGGUCAAACCUUGCCAGAAUGGUUUCAGGUUCGUAUCUAGAUGUAAAUAGUUGCUUUAGUCUAACAACAUGUUUUUGUAUGUUAGACAGAUCAUGUGAGCAUCCAUUUAGCUUAUACCAGAAGAUCCUUCGGUUGGAAUCCCAAAUAAAGUACCACUGGAGUAUAGAGCUAUUUCUUUUUGGCAAUUCAAUUUGCUCCAUCUGUGGUGUUGGGAACUAGGACGUGAACCAUAUUCUGAUCGCUUGCCAAUUUUCCAAUUUGCCAAUUCUGUUUGGAGUCAAAUUUGCCUUUGGAUUUAAAUCCCUCCCAUCAAGCUGAACAUAUAAGUGAGGUCAGAAACGAUUCCUCGCACGUUUAUGUAUAUGGUACAGAGCAACCUAAGCAAGGAAGCAAGAAAAUAGGAAAAGGCUACACUUUUUAUGAUUUCCAUUUGACUGCAAACCAUUUUUUCGCUUCUUGCUUAAUGGCGAAAAGCGUGUGGUGGGAGAUUUUUAAUUGGAUCAGAGUGUCGAUGCCUCAGAACAUGAACAAGCUGGUGGACAUUUUAAGUGUUUUGUGGACAGCAUCAGGAGAAAAAAAAUGUAAGAAGCUGGUCUAUACGGUGGUUAUGGCGUCGGUGUGGAGACUUUGGAAGGCGAGGAAUUUAAAGGUGUACGAAAACAAGUUUUUGCACAUCUGGGAAGUCAUGGAGCUGACUAAAGAGGACACCUUUGUUUGGAUAUGCAAUAGAACCAAGCUCCCAACGCCGAAGUAGGAUAAUUGGCUACAAUUGGAUGUCAUAGAACUGUUGUAAUAGGAUGUGUUUUUUGCUCUUUUUGUUUUGUUUGUUCUAUUGGAGUUGGGUUCUUGGAUUGCAUCUUCCCAGCUCCUCCUUCCUGGGAAGUUUCUUUUUUCUCUGUAUAGAUAUAGAUUGUAGGCGUUAAAAAACACAAAAGACAUUGUAUUAGUAGUUUAGUACUCCUUAUUAUGUUAUUAAGGUAUCAAAACGU
rnacentral:lncRNA from 1 species